GUCAGGAUGGCCGAGCGGUCUAAGGCGCCAGACUCAAGUUUCCAAAUUUAAUUACUCCGCUAAUGCCCAGCCAAAGGCCGUUCUCGUCCACUAAUAUGGGCGUGGGUUCGAAUCCCACUCUUGACA